rnacentral:rRNA from 1 species
CCUACGGGUGGCAGCAGUGAGGAAUAUUGGUCAAUGGCCGGAAGGCUGAACCAGCCAUGCCGCGUGAAGGUCAGUGCCCUAUGGGCGUUAAACUUCUUUUGUGCGGGAGCAAUAAUGGUCACGUGUGGCCAGACGAGAGUACCGUACGAAUAAGCAACGGCUAACUCCUGGCCAGCAGCCGGGGUAAUACGGGGGAUGUAAGCGGUAUCCGGAUUUAUUGGGUGUAAAGGGUGCGUAGGCUGUGAGGUAAGUCAGCGGUGAAAUGUCCCCGCUCAAGGGGGUGAAGUGCAAUUGAUACUGGCUUGCUGGAGUGCGGAUGAGGUGGGAGGAAUGUGUGGUGUAGCGGUGAAAUGCAUAGAUAUCACACAGAACACCGAUUGCGAAGGCAUCUCACGAAUCCGCGAUUGACGCUGAUGUACGAAAGCGUGGGUAUCAAACAGGAUUAGAUACCCUUGUAGUC